CCUACGGGAGGCAGCAGUGGGGAAUAUUGGGCAAUGGGCGCAAGCCUGACCCAGCAACGCCGCGUGAAGGAAGAAGGCCCUCGGGUUGUAAACUUCUUUUGUCAGGGACGAAGGAAGUGACGGUACCUGACGAAUAAGCCACGGCUAACUACGUGCCAGCAGCCGCGGUAAUACGUAGGUGGCAAGCGUUAUCCGGAUUUACUGGGUGUAAAGGGAGUGUAGGCGGGACUGCAAGUCAGAUGUGAAAUUCCAGGGCUCAACCCUGGGACUGCAUUUGAAACUGUAGUUCUUGAGUGCUGGAGAGGCAGGCGGAAUUCCGUGUGUAGCGGUGAAAUGCGUAGAUAUACGGAGGAACACCAGUGGCGAAGGCGGCCUGCUGGACAUUAACUGACGCUGAGGCGCGAAAGCGUGGGGAGCAAACAGGAUUAGAUACCCCAGUAGUC
rnacentral:rRNA from 1 species